rfam:Schistosoma rodhaini strain Burundi genome assembly, scaffold: SROB_scaffold0000081
AUCCAGCUGACGAGUCCCGAAUAGGACGAAACGCGUGUCCUGGAU